AUUUAAACUGACCAUGUCGUCGCUGCUGUCGGUUUGGACGUAAACACGGAUUUGGCUGUCGCUUUUGGAUUGAAAUAGAUUCCAAUUUUGGUGGUUAUCGAGUCAAUGCUGAGCUUUAAGCACGGCCAAACGUCCGGUUGUUUAUUUUUUAUUAGGCUGGAGAUGCUGCCUUCUUUUGUGAUAGCAAAUUGGUUCGUCAUCUUAUGAAACAUCACCACCAUGCUGUUGUAUUAGGGCGAUUGGCUGGAGAGAAGAAUACUGGCAACGAAACACGGAUGAACAACUGCAGUGCACUGUCUCCAAGUGCAUUCUUCUUCGUAUUAUUAGUACGCAAUCGGUUGAUUGUGAUGUCGUGAUGUUGCUGUUUGCCGUGUCGUUGAAGGCUGGGUCGAUCACUGGUGUACCGAUGUCUCCUGGGUGUGGCGGAUACCAAAGUACCACGCCGCCGCCUUACUACACAACGACAACAUUCGCAAGAACCGGUUACUACACUGAGGCAUACAAUUACUACACCAAUAAGGCUCCAGAGUAUUACAUAGUAGCUAAUGCUGCCCCGAGUUACAUCAUCAAACGUACUACACCGAGGCUCCCAAGUACUACACCACCAAGUCACCGGAGUAAUACACGUAUGUUGCCCAGCUUACUACACCGAGGCUCCAACUUAUUACACCACUAAAGCGGCUGAACACUACACCAAGCCACCUAAGUACUACACCAACAAGGCUCCAGAAUAUUACACCACAACUUGCGCUUCCCCGAGCCACUACACCGAAGCCCCGAAGUAUUACUCUGCCCCAAGCUACAC